rnacentral:rRNA from 1 species
AUUGAACGCUGGCGGCAUGCUUUACACAUGCAAGUCGAACGGUAACAGGCCUGCUGGUGCUUCCGAGUGUCGCGCGGGAGUGUAAUGCAUCGGAACGAGCCCCUAGCUGGGGGAUAACGCAGCGAAAGCUGUGCCAAUACUGCUUGUGAUCUGAGGAUUAAAGCGGGUGGCUAGGUAGCAAUGUUCGGCCUCGCGCCUUCGUAUCGGCCGAUGUCAGAUGAGCGAGUUGGUGGGGUAAGGGCUUACCAAGCAGACGAUCUGUAGCUGGUCUGAGAGGGCGAUCAGCCACACUGGGACUGAGACACGGUCCAGACUCCUACGGGAGGCAGCAGUAGGGAAUUUUGGGCAAUGGGCGGAAGCCUGACCGAGCAACGCCGCGUGAGUGAAGAAGGUCUUCGGGUUGUAAACCGCUGUUGUACGGGAAGAAAAGGUUCGGGCGAAACCAUGCGCGUGUUGACGGUACCGAAACAGAAAGCACCGGCUAACUACGUG